rnacentral:rRNA from 1 species
AGAGUUUGAUCCUGGCUCAGAUUGAACGCUGGCGGCAGGCUUAACACAUGCAAGUCGAGCGGUAACAUUUCUAGCUUGCUAGAAGAUGACGAGCGGCGGACGGGUGAGUAAUGCUUGGGAAACUGCCUGAGAGUGGGGGACAACAGUUGGAAACGACUGCUAAUACCGCAUAAUGUCUUCGGACCAAAGGAGGGGCUCUUCGGACCUUUCGCUUUCAGAUGUGCCCAAGUGGGAUUAGCUAGAUGGUGGGGUAAUGGCCUACCAUGGCGACGAUCCCUAGCUGGUUUGAGAGGAUGAUCAGCCACACUGGGACUGAGACACGGCCCAGACUCCUACGGGAGGCAGCAGUGGGGAAUAUUGCACAAUGGGCGCAAGCCUGAUGCAGCCAUGCCGCGUGUGUGAAGAAGGCCUUCGGGUUGUAAAGCACUUUCAGUUGUGAGGAAGGUUGUGUGGUUAAUACCCACAUAAUUUGACGUUAGCAACAGAAGAAGCACCGGCUAACUCCGUGCCAGCAGCCGCGGUAAUAC